UACGGAGGGUGCGAGCGUUGUCCGGAAUCACUGGGCGUAAAGGGCGCGUAGGCGGCCGUGUAAGUCACUUGUGAAAUCCCGGGGCUCAACUCCGGGGCUGCAGGUGAGACUGCAUGGCUAGAGCUCGGUAGAGGCAAGUGGAAUUCCCGGUGUAGCGGUGGAAUGCGUAGAUAUCGGGAAGAACACCGGUGGCGAAGGCGAAUCCCUGGAAAAUACCUGACACUGAGGCACGAAAGCUAGGGGAGCAAACAGG
rnacentral:rRNA from 1 species